rnacentral:rRNA from 1 species
GAUGAACGCUGGCGGCGUGCCUAACACAUGCAAGUCGAACGGAGUCCAGCCUCUAAGACCUUCGGGUCAAAUAGGGGAAGACUGAGUGGCGGACGGGUGAGUAACACGUGGGCAACCUGGCUCUUAAAGGGGGAUAACAGAGAGAAAGUUCUGCUAAUACCGCAUAAGCACACACUGCCGCAUGGCAGAGGGUGAAAGGAGGAUCGCCAUGAGAUGGACCCGCGUCUGAUUAGCCAGCUGGCAGGGUAAGAGCCUACCAAAGCGACGAUCAGUAGCCGAUAUGAGAGGAUGAACGGCCACAUUGGGACUGAGACACGGCCCAAACUCCUACGCGAGGGAGCAGUGGAGGAUAUUGCACAAUGGGGGGAAACCUGAUGCAGCGACGCCGCGUGAGUGAAGAAGUGUGUCGGUAUGUAAAGCUCUAUCAGCAGGGAAGAUAAUGACGGUACCUGAAUAAGAAGCCCCGGCUAACUACGUG